rnacentral:pre_miRNA from 1 species
UCGCGGCCCGCCUCUGGUUCGCUUGGUGCAGGUCGGGAAACGCCAUUGAUCGAUCGGCUGUCUCAGCUUAAUUCGCUCGUGCGUGUCCCGCUUUGCACCAACUGAAUCGGAGACGGCAACGCGC